rnacentral:misc_RNA from 1 species
AAGAAGGUUGUCAUCUCUGCCCCGAGCAAAGAUGCUCCGAUGUUUGUCUGCGGUGUCAACGAGGACAAGUACACUUCAGAUAUUGAUAUUGUCUCAAAUGCUAGCUGCACCACAAACUGCCUUGCUCCUCUUGCCAAGGUCAUUCAUGACAACUUUGGUAUUAUCGAGGGUCUGAUGACAACUGUUCAUGCCAUCACUGCCACCCAAAAGACCGUUGAUGGACCGUCCAGCAAGGACUGGAGGGGUGGCAGGGCGGCCAGUUUUAACAUCAUUCCCAGCAGCACUGGUGCUGCCAAAGCUG